ACAGGUCUGUGAUGCCCUUAGAUGUUCUGGGCUGCACGCGCGCGACACUGAUCUAUUCAACGAGUGGCUGGGUCGAGAGACUUGGCAAAUCUUGUGAAAGUAGAUCGUGAUGGGGAUUGAUGCUUGUAAUUGUUCAUCAUGAACGAGGAAUUCCUAGUAAACGCAAGUCA
rnacentral:rRNA from 1 species